CCAGACUCCUACGGGAGGCAGCAGUGAGGAAUAUUGGUCAAUGGCCGGAAGGCUGAACCAGCCAAGCCGCGUGAAGGACGAAGGUGCCAAGCAUUGUAAACUUCUUUUGUCAAGGGACAAAAUCAGGCUCGAGAGCCUGACCGAGGGUACUUGAAGAAAAAGCAUCGGCUAACUCCGUGCCAGCAGCCGCGGUAAUACGGAGGAUGCGAGCGUUAUCCGGAUUUAUUGGGUUUAAAGGGUGCGUAGGCGGACUGUUAAGUCAGCGGUAAAAGCCCGGGGCUCAACCCCGUACUGCCGUUGAAACUGCAUCCCUUGAGUGCGCGAGAAGUAUGCGGAAUGCGUGGUGUAGCGGUGAAAUGCAUAGAUAUCACGCAGAACCCCGAUUGCGAAGGCAGCUUACUAAACUGUGACUGACAUUGAUGCUCGAAAGUGUGGGUAUCAAACAGGAUUAGAUACCCGUGUA
rnacentral:rRNA from 1 species